rnacentral:rRNA from 1 species
GAUGAACGCUGGCGGCGUGCCUAAUACAUGUAAGUCGAGCGAACAGAUAAGGAGCUUGCUCCUUUGACGUUAGCGGCGGACGGGUGAGUAACACGUGGGUAACCUACCUAUAAGACUGGAAUAACUCCGGGAAACCGGGGCUAAUGCCGGAUAACAUUUAGAACCGCAUGGUUCUAAAGUGAAAGAUGGUUUUGCUAUCACUUAUAGAUGGACCCGCGCCGUAUUAGCUAGUUGGUAAGGUAACGGCUUACCAAGGCAACGAUACGUAGCCGACCUGAGAGGGUGAUCGGCCACACUGGAACUGAGACACGGUCCAGACUCCUACGGGAGGCAGCAGUAGGGAAUCUUCCGCAAAGGGCGAAAGCCUGACGGAGCAACGCCGCGUGAGUGAUGAAGGUCUUCGGAUCGUAAAACUCUGUUAUUAGGGAAGAACAAAUGUGUAAGUAACUGUGCACGUCUUGACGGUACCUAAUCAGAAAGCCACGGCUAACUACGUG